rnacentral:lncRNA from 1 species
AUCCGUAUCUCAUUCUGAAAAAUAAACAUAUAUAAAAGUACACCUUUUGUAUUGUAUUAUCAUGUGCAGCACACAUACAAAGAAGAACAAUUAUUCGUAUGCAUCUCAUCUGGUGGUUGAGUAAAACUACAUCAGUGCUAGUGCCAGUCGACAUUUUGAAAGCAUCAUCCGAAUCCAUCAGUUGAAACACUUGUCCACAAUAGUGAAGCAUAUAAAUAUAUAAACAUAUAAAUGACAUUUUAUCUAUUAUAAACAUGUAAACAAAAGUGAGACCAACCAAAAUUUUCCCCAUCUACACAAACUAAAAAAAACUUAUCACUCCCCACUUUCUCCACUCAGAGGUCAGAGCCGCUCGUCUCACCUUCUCCCCUCACAACUACUCCCAUCCAUGGCGCCUCCCUUCCCCUAGAUGGUGUCGGCUGGCCCCUCCUAGGUGAGGAAAAUAGAACAGUGUAGGCAUAAACUUCUGCAUACUAUCGAAAGGUGUUGAAUCGCUCAUAAAAUAUUCCUUCAUAUGUACUUUUUUAUAUGCGAGAAAAAAACUAAUGCUUGCAAAAACAUAGUAAUGAUCAAUUAGUAUGUAGAUCAGAAAACCAAUCUUGAACUCCUUACGCAUGUGUCAGUCAAAAAUUAUAACCACGAUAAUUAUCCAAUUCAAUGGCCAAGAAACAUGGUUGCCACACAUCUGAGCUCUAACCCCACCCAUAACAAGAACUGACUCAAAUGCUUGAGCAGAUAAACCAGAGUUAGAUUCAGGUUAAUACAUUCAAUGCUACAAUAAUCCCUUUAAUUUCCAAACAGCAGACCAAGAAUAACCUAAGUUUUAAGGUUCCAAACUGGUAUUUAUAGUAGCAAGUAUGUAGCAGCAUAUCGAAUAUGUGGCACGUAACCUACCACUUACCAAUGGAUAACUGAUUUUGCCGAACUCAUCGGUGCAUCAAAACUCUCUCGAGCAUUCCGUCGAUGAAUCGCUCGAGCAGUUUAUGCAUUUAUAAUCAGUUUAUGCAUUUGUAAACUUACCUUUGGUUUAUUUUUAGCAGUUCUAGAUCAUCACUAACUGCUUGCAAUGAUGAAUCACUGCAACGAGGUCGGUGUCUGCAAGCGACCUUCCCAUUUUUGCUUGUGGCCGGCUAGGCCACCUUCCUACCCAGUGGCAUGUUUUAUGGUAAAAGGAGGAGCCUUUUGCCGUUCGCUGGUGAGCGGCAUCCGUGUACUAUGGUGGCGGUGUGGGGUGGUCUAGGUGUGUAUAUAACAAGUCACAGUCGGGGGAACUAUGAUAGUGUAAAUUACCUUGAGAGAAGAAAAUGCUUUCUCUUGACUCGCCCGCUCUUUCCACCAUCUUCCUCUUAGCAGAUUGCCUCUGCAAAUUGUCAGUAGUGGAAAAUAUUGAUUCAAGGGCAUAAGCUAUGACUAUUGCUACAUAUGGAAAAUAGGAGGCAAAAAAGUUACAAGAUAUGUCAAGGUAGAAACAUAGGACAUAGUUAGUAUUUUCAGAUCCGUGCAUGUAAUCCUCGAGAAGUUGAGGGAGGUAUUCCAUUAUCUCCCUAAAUAUAAUUUCUUUGAUGUCUUCUUUGGUAAACUUUCUUUGUUCAAACUCAAAAUCAUUUUUCAAAUUCAUGAGCAUGAUGCUUCUCUCUCCACUUCCACGAGAUCCUUAAAAAGAGACAAACCAUGAAUGAUUUUGUAAAGUAAAAACAAAUGACAACGUAUCACUCACGCACCUGCUUAACCCCAAGCCUCGAGGGCCACCGCUCAUGUGUGUGUGCCGCUACCCUGCUCCAAAGACUACUCUUUGCCGCUGCACCGAGGUCACACACACAGCCAUGCCACAGUACAACGCUGUGCUGAGGCUACACACAUGACCAUGCCACAGUACAACACUACCGUCUUGCUCUUUAUGUUUUUUCCCCAUGCAGUCUCAGCCUCCACCCCGCAUCCCCAUCUACAUAGCCACGAGGGGACCAUACCAGUUCACGCCGACACCCACCCAAAGGCAUCAUGUACACCCGGAUACGCUCUGAUUGCCUGCCAAAUAGGUUAAUUUGGAUCAUAAUGUAACUGUAGAAAUUUGAUAUUUCCAAACAUAUUGUUCCUAAUUAUGCGGGUUGGGAAAUGAAAUAGGAAUAGUUAAAUAGUAGUAAGAUCCCGGUUUUAUACUGGACUUGCCCUUCAUCCCGGGCUCUACCAGGACGGUGUCACGAUCAUGUGUUGCAUAGAAAAUAAAAAUAUGAAUAGAAAUGUUCGUCCAAGGCAUGAAAAUGUCAAUGUUUACCUACCCUUCCCUCCCUCGCACGCACAUAUCUGAUUCAUGGUACACAUAUAUGUAUCCGAUAGGAAAGAGCAAAAAAACAAUUCCCCUCACUUUCUAUCUCCUAUACCUAAAACUUCUUUUAGGACAUUAAAUUUACAAAUUACAUGAUCUAAUAAACCAAAAUGAAAUAGAGGGCAUAUCCAAUUGGAACCUCGAGUUUCCCUUUAACAAAAGUUGGGCCGUGAGCUAAAGAGAUAACAUUCAAAAUGUUCUGAAAUACCAAGGGAAACCCAUCUGAAACCGAAUAAACAAAAUCUAGCUAAAAUAUAAAUAUUUGAUUAGUUGCAAAUGUUCGAGAUCGAUUCUCAAAACUCAUGACCAUAAGUUGCAGCAGAAAGGAUGGUAGAACACCAUCUUACUUGAGGGUGCCGGGUCAUUGGCGUCCUCGGUCUUCUCGACCAUGGGUGAUGACGAACGCGGGCGUGGCAGGGGGUCCUACCUGCAACAACCCUCAGCGCGCCGGAAAUAGGGAGAUUGUGCCACAAUUUAAUAGGUAUAGAACAAUAGAUCCAUUUUUACCUAGAACUAUACCACAAUCUGCAUAUACAUUGUUUAUUUCGAUCGUGGUUAUUGAACUGAUUACAAACAUGACUAUAGAAAAGGAAGGGAAGGAUGGAAGAAUACCACACGGAAAGGGAACCAAUGUGAAUUACCCCCCGUACCCCAAACUCCAAUUUUUCUACUGCAGAUAUAAGGAUGGAAAACAGAAGUUCAGUUAGUGCCUUACUUCAAGAAUAUCA